UGGGGAAUCUUCCGCAAUGGACGCAAGUCUGACGGAGCAACGCCGCGUGAGUGAAGAAGGUUUUCGGAUCGUAAAACUCUGUCUUUUGGGGCGAACGUGAGUAUGGUGAACAAUCAUAGUCAGUGACGGUACCAAAGGAGGAAGCCACGGCUAACUACGUGCCAGCAGCCGCGGUAAUACGUAGGUGGCAAGCGUUGUCCGGAAUUAUUGGGCGUAAAGAGCGCGUAGGCGGGAUAGUCAGUCUGUUGUAAAAGUGCGGGGCUCAACCCCGUGAUCGCAAUGGAAACAGCUAUUCUUGAGUGCAGGAGAGGAAAGUGGAAUUCCCAGUGCAGCGGUGAAAUGCGUAGAUAUUGGGAGGAACACCAGUGGCGAAGGCGACUUUCUGGACUGUGUCUGACGCUGAGGCGCGAAAGCCAGGGGGAGCGAACGGGAUUAGAUACCCCCGGUAGUCCUGGCCGUAAACGAUGGGUACUAGGUGUGGGAGGUAUCGACCCCCUUUCCGUGCCGGAGUUAACGCAAUAAGUACCCCGCCUGGGGGAGUACGGUCGCAAGACUGAAACUCAAAGGAAUUGACGGGGGUCAUAGCUG
rnacentral:rRNA from 1 species